GUUUGCUGCAGCAUUAUUUAGCAAACCUCAUAGAUAUAAGGAAGCUUAGGCCCGGUUUAGACGGCGAACUUUUCAUGCGCCGAAUCUAAUUGUCGUAGAUACGGCAAAAUAUCGGAAGCUGAUUUAGACGUCGAACUUAAUUGUACCGUACCAAAUUGCGAGGACACUAUAUUGGACAUAUUUACAAUGCAAAUAUAUGAUAAUCAUAUUAUGAUGUUAAAAAAUAAUUAUGCAUUAGGUUCGGCGCAUGAAAAGCACGGCGUCUAAAUCAAUGUCGAACCUGUGUCAUAUACGACUUGUCUUGUCGCAUCUUCGAGUCAUGUCGAACUUAAUCAAAACCUGUCGAACUUAACUGAUUUAGACGCCGCUCCAGCGUCGCACUUAAUUCUUGCAUUAGAUUCGGCGCAUGAGAAGUUCGCCGUCUAAACCGGGCCU